GACGAACCGUGCGAACGUUGUUCGGAUUCACUGGGCUUAAAGGGCGCGUAGGCGGGCGGUCAAGUCAGGGGUGAAAUCUUUCAGCUCAACUGGAAAAGUGCCUUUGAUACUGACUGUCUUGAGGGAGGUAGGGGCAUGUGGAACUUCCGGUGGAGCGGUGAAAUGCGUAGAUAUCGGAAGGAACGCCGGUGGCGAAAGCGACGUGCUGGACCUCUUCUGACGCUGAGGCGCGAAAGCUAGGGGAGCAAACGGG
rnacentral:rRNA from 1 species